UACGGGGGGGGCAAGCGUUGUUCGGAAUUACUGGGCGUAAAGGCUCGUAGGUGGCCAACUAAGUCAGACGUGAAAUCCCUCGGCUUAACCGGGGGAACUGCGUCUGAUACUGGAUGGCUUGAGGUUGGGAGAGGGAUGCGGAAUUCCAGGCGUAGCGGUGAAAUGCGUAGAUAUCUGGAGGAACACCGGUGGCGAAGGCGGCAGUCCUGGACCAAUUCUGACGCUGAGGAGCGAAAGCCAGGGGAGCAAAGCGGGAUUAGAUG
rnacentral:rRNA from 1 species